GUAACGGCGAGUGAAGCGGCAACAGCUCAAAUUUGAAAUCUGGCUCCCAGCGGGUCCGAGUUGUAAUUUGCAGAGGAUGCUUCAGGCAGAGCGCCUUCCGAGUUCCCUGGAACGGGACGCCGCAGAGGGUGAGAGCCCCGUACGGUAGGUGGCCGAGCCGCUGUGAAGCUCCCUCGAAGAGUCGAGUAGUUUGGGAAUGCUGCUCUAAGCGGGAGGUAUACCUCUUCUAAAGCUAAAUACCGGCCAGAGACCGAUAGCGCACAAGUAGAGUGAUCGAAAGAUGAAAAGCACUUUGGAAAGAGAGUUAAAAAGUACGUGAAAUUGUUGAAAGGGAAGCGCUCAUGACCAGACCUGAGCCUGGUAAAUCAGCCUCCGUUCUCGGUGGUGCACUUUGCCGGCCCAGGCCAGCAUCGGUCUGCCCUCGGGGAGAAGAACAGUGGGAACGUGGCUCCCUGGAGUGUUAUAGCCCUCUGUAGAUGCCCGUCGGCGGACCGAGGUCCGCGCUCUUGCGAGGAUGCUGGCGUAAUGGUCUUCAGCGGCCCGUCUUGAAACACGGACCAAGGAGUCGUCCUGAUAUGCGAGUGUUAGGGUGCAAAACCCCUACGCGGAAUGAAAGUGAACGGAGACGGGAGCUUCUGCGCACCGUCGACCGAUCCUGAAGUUCUCUGAUGGAUUUGAGUAAGAGCAUAUCGGGCCGGACCCGAAAGAAGGUGAUCUAUGCCUGGAUAGGGUGAAGCCAGAGGAAACUCUGGUGGAGGCUCGCAGCGGUUCUGACGUGCAAAUCGAUCGUCAAAUCUGGGCAUGGGGGCGAAAGACUAAUCGAACCUUUUAGUAGCUGGUUUCCGUCGAAGUUUCCCUCAGGAUAGCAGUGUCGAUCUCAGUUUUAUGAGGUAAAGCGAAUGAUUAGGGACUCGGGGGCGCUUUUCAGCCUUCAUCCAUUCUCAAACUUUAAAUAUGUAAGAAGCCCCCGUUGCUUCGGUGAACGUGG
rnacentral:rRNA from 1 species